GAUCAUGGCUCAGAGUGAACGCUGGCGGCAGGCCUAACACAUGCAAGUCGAGCGGCAGCGCGUCCGACCACCCUCGGGUGGUCGGAUGGCGGCGAGCGGCGGACGGGUGAGGAAUGCAUCGGAAUCUGCCUCGUUGUGGGGGAUAACGUAGGGAAACUUACGCUAAUACCGCAUACGACCUACGGGUGAAAGUGGGGGACCUUCGGGCCUCACGCGAUGAGAUGAGCCGAUGCCGGAUUAGCUAGUUGGCGGGGUAAAGGCCCACCAAGGCGACGAUCCGUAGCUGGUCUGAGAGGAUGAUCAGCCACACUGGAACUGAGACACGGUCCAGACUCCUACGGGAGGCAGCAGUGGGGAAUAUUGGACAAUGGGGGCAACCCUGAUCCAGCCAUGCCGCGUGUGUGAAGAAGGCCUUCGGGUUGUAAAGCACUUUUGUUGGGGAAGAAACCGGCCGGGUUAAUACCCUGGUUGAAUGACGGUACCCAAAGAAUAAGCACCGGCUAACUUCGUG
rnacentral:rRNA from 1 species